GUAAAUUAAUCAACAAUGAAAUACUUUAAAUAUGAAAUUUGGAGUUUUACCAAGGGAGCUAAUAAUUAAUUAAUGUUAACACUGUCUGCCACACAGCAUUUCGGGGCCUCUCCCUCUGGUAUCUUUCGUCCCUCUUUUAUAGCUGACUAUGCGGGGGCUUUUCUAAUUAUUGGGGGCAUUAUGAUAACAUAUAGUUGUUAAUUUCUGUGUCAUUUAGUCUCUUGGCAAUGAUAAUACAUAUUCUUUAAUAUAUAUAGUGAUGUCGUUAUUACGACAUAGCUAUGUCGUUAAAACGACAUAGUGAUGUCGUAAUAACGACAUGUUAUGUCGAAAUAACGACAUAGCGAUGUCGUAAUAACGACAUGUUAUGUCGAAAUUACGACAUAGCGAUGUCGUAUAAACGACAUGUUAUGUCGAAAUUAC
rnacentral:lncRNA from 1 species